CUGUCCCUACGGGAGGCAGCAGUAGGGAAUCUUCCACAAUGGACGAAAGUCUGAUGGAGCAACGCCGCGUGAGUGAAGAAGGGUUUCGGCUCGGAAAGCUCUGUUGGUAGUGAAGAAAGAUAGAGGUAGUAACUGGCCUUUAUUUGACGGUAAUUACUUAGAAAGUCACGGCUAACUACGUGCCAGCAGCCGCGGUAAUACGUAGGUGGCAAGCGUUGUCCGGAUUUAUUGGGCGUAAAGCGAGUGCAGGCGGUUCAAUAAGUCUG
rnacentral:rRNA from 1 species